rnacentral:lncRNA from 1 species
AUAUAAAAAGGAUACUUCAAUGCACCGCUCCAUCCUUUGUACACAAGCUAUCUAUCAUCUGUGUGACUCCAUGCAUCGCGUCACUCUCUUGUAUAGUAAUAAUAGUAUAUACUCCAGCUUUUUUUAUGAAGAUUACUAAAAUAAUAAUGAUGAUGGCCUCCUAAGUUUAAUAUUUUUAUCUAUAUUGCUGCCAAAUCUUGCACUUGAAGGCGAAGAUAGUCUACUUGGAUGGGAUCUCUUCG